GCCAUAGCUCAGUGGUAGAGCAUCUGCCUUGCAUGCAGAAGGUCCCAGGUUCAAAUUCUGGUAUCUCCA